CCUCCCUCCUCCCCCCUUCCCCCCUCCCCCCGGGCUGCGACUGGGCGACCACAACCUCCAUCGCCGGCGACCAGGCGCUCCCUCGCCGGCCGCCAUGGCUGCCUGCCGCCAUGGCUGGAUGCAGCCCGCGUAUACUAGUGUUGCAACCGUCACCUAGAACAGCUUCAACAGCUGUUGAAAAAAGCUUCAACCAUAGACAGAAAAGCUUCAAUGAAACUGCAUAAUAAGGGGAAGCUGCAACCGUAGUUGGUUUUUGUUACUACAGGCGAAGUUUUUUGCUACAUCCAUCAGGCGGAGCUGCGACCUCACGACGAUGACAACGACGAUUUUUUGUUGCAAUCGUAGUAGAAUUUUGCUACCACCGCUGAAGUUUUUGCUACAUCCAUGUAAGGCAGAGUUGCGACCUCGCGAAAGACGGCGACGAUGUUUGAUUUUUGCUGCAACCAUAGUAGAUUUUUUGCUUCUAUCGGUGAAGCUUUUUGCUACAUCCACGUAAGGCGGAGUCGCGACCUCGCGAAAGACGGCGACGGUGUUUGAUUUUUGCUGCAACCAUAGUAGAUUUUUGCUUCUAUCGGUGAAGCUUUUUGCUACAUCCAUGUAAGGCGGAGUCGCGACCUCGCGAAAGACGGCGACGGUGUUUGAUUUUUGCUGCAACCGUAGUUUACUUUCGCUACUACGGGUGAAGUUUUUUGCUACAUCCAUUCAAAACGGUGUUGAUUGACUGACGGUCGCCGUUGAUAUAAUUUCCUACGGCGAGCAUCAAUGGCGAGGGGCGGCGGCCGAGCCACAACCGUCGCCGUCAAGAGCUGCAACGCAGGUGGAGUUGUUGCAUGGGAACUGGCGACGUGGACAGCUGGCGAGGGCGGGGACUGGCGACGAGGACGGGCGGCGAGGGCAGGGAUCGGCGACGAGGACGGGCGGCGAGGGUGGGGGUCCGGCGGCGACGAGGAAGACCGGCGAGGGUGGGGACCGGCGACCACCGGAGGGGACAGGAGGCGCGGCGUCGCGCUCCCCCAAACGGGAUCCAACUGACUGCCCGAGGAAGAAGAGAGCUUGGGGCGAUUCGUUUUUUUUUUGCUUGGGAUCCAGCGGCUGCGUGGCUCAAAUCGAACAGUCCGGGCUGGACCGGCCGAACGAUUCGGCCGGCGCACCGGCGCCUAUCGGUGCCCUAAUCAAUAAGAUCUCCGUCUGAUAUAGUAGCUUAUGAGCACACGUACCCCGCAGCAUCAAACAAAUACUCGGUUUCAGAGUUAAUUUCUGUAAGUCUGGCUUACCUAAAUACUCAUUUGAUUCACUGUUGGGUAAUUGAAUAGGGAUAAAAAAAGUGAGGUGCAACUCAAGCGAAUAAACAGUAGAAGAAUGAAGAAGUAAGCAGGGAGUGGAUGUAGAUCCUCCAAGGGAACAUCAAGGUACUGGUUGUGCCCACCUGUUGUGGGGUUGCUUCUACCUAAACCAUGUGGAUUACUCUUCGUACAAUUUUCUUGCAGUUAGUGUCGGGAACUCUGUGUACUUGUGAAAUGCAUGCAGCAACAAGGUCUGCCAACCAUUGUCAUUGUUGCAAGAUUACUUUUUUGAAAGUUGUAAAGAGAACGAGAGAUAGAACUAAGUAAGUUGCUCUAGCUCUCACCAAGCUAUGUCAUUGAGCAGGUCACUAAGCUUUGCUAUUCGGGUGCAUAUGACACUAAUUAUCCAGUGGGUUGGGCACAACAUGGCACUCAGCAGCCCGUAGGAAAGAAAUGGUUCUCUAAGUUGGGAUGGUUUUGUGAUUAAUUGUUGGCUUGUUGCCAUCAGAUUUACUUACAUGGUCAGCUUCCAGUGUUCAGCUAUUAUAUGUAGCACCGCAGAUGCAUAUAUUACUAUUCAGUGUAUACUAAAGUUUUACUUUGCAGAAGAAAUGCAUGGCACAGAUGAUGUUACUUGCUGUUCUAGGUGUGGUGAUCUCAACAUUUUUGCUUGGCGCUGCUAUAAAGCUUACUUUUCCGUAUGAUUGGAACUGGAAAACAUCAUUCUUGUUCGGCGGACGCUCAGUGCAACCGAUCAUGUUACUAUGAUUGCUCUUCUAAAAGACCUAGGCGCAAGCAAAAAGCUCAGUACGAUAAUCGAAGGAGAAUCCUUAAUGAACGAUAGUGUUGCUCUGGGCCUUGCAUUUGGAAUCGCAUCUCUACUAUGGCUGGGCUUUAUUUUCGAUGGUACAAUCAUACAGAUUUCACUAACACUUGCAGUCAGAUAUAUGGCUUUCUUCACUGUAAGAUAAUCAGAUAACGGACAUAUCAAGGCUCUUAUAUUUCUAUUUUUAUCUCUAGAAGGACAUGAUUUUCUUAGUGUUUGGAAAUGGUUUUUAGCUUGAGUAAUAGAAUGGUUGUCAAGCAACCCUUUUUGCAACACUGGGAUGCUGUUUUAAUGGCUUGUGAUGGCAAUCCAGGGUCAUUUCUGGAUACAUUCAUGUGUGCCAAUGAGGUUUCCAUGUACUGAUGAUGUAAUAUUAGAUUUUUUAUCUUGUCAA